UACAGAGGGUGCGAGCGUUAAUCGGAAUUACUGGGCGUAAAGCGCACGUAGUCGGCUUGUCAAGUCGGGUGUGAAAUCCCCGGGCUCAACCUGGGAACUGCAUCCGAGACUGACUUGCUAGAGUAUGGGAGAGGGAAGCGGAAUUUCCUGUGUAGCGGUGAAAUGCGUAGAUAUAGGAAGGAACACCAGUGGCGAAGGCGACUACCUGGACUGAUACUGACACUGAGGUGCGAAAGCGUGGGGAGCAAACAGGAUUAGAUACCCUAGUAGU
rnacentral:rRNA from 1 species